UCUGGAGACUUCUAGCUCUCAUUCUGGCCUUGAGUGAACGCUCUUCUGCUUCUAGUUUCUUCAAAACACAGCCAUGCUCACUCACUGUGCCUCAUUACUGCAUAUAUCAUGUGUAUGUUUUCAUUUCUUUCUCACAUGAAUUCAGGUAGAUGUCCCAUUAUUAUUACUGUUCAAUGGAAAUGAAACCCCAGGAAACCUUAUGCUAGUGAACCCAAUGACAGUUGCUGGCUUGGCAUCUUCCCCUGUAUCUUCCAGCUACGUUAAACCCUGCCAUCCCCUCCCUUGGCCUUUCAAAAGGGUUCACCCUCAUAGACCUGCUUUCAUUGUCAUGGUCUCAUAUAUCCCUGGCUGGCCUUGAAGUUAGUAUGUGGCUGAAGAUGACUGUGAACCUCCAGUGCUGAGAAUGAAUGCAUACACCUCCCCACAGGCUUUAUUUGGCGCUGGGAAUCCAACCCAGGGCUUCUUGAAUGCUAAGCCAGCGCUGCUCUACCAACUGAGCUACCUUCCCGUCUCCUCUUUACUCAGUUUGACAACAUUAGAAUUUCAGCUCUACAGGUCACUCUGCGUUUGGCUUCUUGCAUUCCUAACUUGUCUCUCGUGCUCCAGCUUUAUAACCUAUUUGCUAACAUCUCUAACAUCCUAAGAUCCUAUAUUUAUUGACCCUUUUAAAAGUGUUGGAACCUGGGUAGCCUUUAUAACCACGGAAUAAGAGAAUGUUAUGUUCAGUUAGGAGUUUGGGAUCUAUCACAGACUCUUUCGUUUUGUUCAGUUGGUUUUAAAAGCUGGGACAUUGACUUUCUUUUUCCUCUUGGGAGCCUCUGUUUUCUCACGCCUCUCUCCACUCAUUCCGUUGCUGUCCAGGACAAGUCAGGUCAGUUUUCUCUUGCA